UGAGUAGGCGGUAAUAUGUGUCAGAUGUAAAAGGCUAUGGCUUAACCAUAGUUGGCAUUUGAAACUGUAUUACUUGAGUGUAGGAGAGGUAAGUGGAAUUCCUAGUGUAGCGGUGAAAUGCGUAGAUAUUAGGAGGAACACCAGUGGCGAAGGCGACUUACUGGACUGUAACUGACGCUGAGUCACGAAAGCGUGGGUAGCAAACA
rnacentral:rRNA from 1 species